UUUAUGCGAUAAAAAUUAUUUACAUAUCACUGUGCUUUGUCAGAGGGCAUUAUUUACUUGCUUCAUUCACUGUCAUUUAUCAAGUUUUUCAUUUUGAUGGACUUAAU